rnacentral:rRNA from 1 species
CCUACGGGUGGCAGCAGUGGGGAAUAUUGCGCAAUGGGCGAAAGCCUGACGCAGCGACGCCGCGUGAGGGAUGAAGGUCUUCGGAUCGUAAACCUCUGUCAGCAGGGAAGAACGGUCACUGUGCUAAUCAGCAGUGAAUUGACGGUACCUGCAAAGGAAGCACCGGCUAACUCCGUGCCAGCAGCCGCGGUAAUACGGAGGGUGCGAGCGUUAAUCGGAAUUACUGGGCGUAAAGCGCUCGUAGGCGGUAUGUCAAGUCAAGGGUGAAAUCCCCGCGCUCAACGUGGGCACUGCCUUUGAAACUGGCAAACUGGAGUGUGUGAGAGGAUAGUGGAAUUCCAGGUGUAGGAGUGAAAUGCGUAGAUAUCUGGAGGAACAUCAGUGGCGAAGGCGACUAUCUGGCACAUAACUGACGCUGAGGAGCGAAAGCGUGGGUAGCAAACAGGAUUAGAUACCCUAGUAGUC